UUUUUUCAAAAUGUAUAGUUUGUUUAUGUUUUGGACUACGAUAUGUGAACUUUCAUCAUUUGGUUGUUUCAGUUCUUAUGUUGCUUUGUAAUUCGAGCCAAGUAAGGCUAGUUGAAUCUGCAGAUUAAUAUUAUCAUUAAGCAAUACAGAGUAAGUGAAGGAUAAAAUAAAAUAGAGCAAGCAAACACAAAACCAGAGGUUCUGACUAUCGUGUCGAUGCUUUCAGUACCUUCAGUGUUCUUCAG
rnacentral:lncRNA from 1 species